ACGGGGACCCGCACAAGCAGCGGAGCAUGUGGUUUAAUUCGAAGCAACGCGAAGAACCUUACCAGGUCUUGACAUCCCGAUGCUAUUUCUAGAGAUAGAAAGUUACUUCGGUACAUCGGUGACAGGUGGUGCAUGGUUGUCGUCAGCUCGUGUCGUGAGAUGUUGGGUUAAGUCCCGCAACGAGCGCAACCCCUAUUGUUAGUUGCCAUCAUUCAGUUGGGCACUCUAGCGAGACUGCCGGUAAUAAACCGGAGGAAGGUGGGGAUGACGUCAAAUCAUCAUGCCCCUUAUGACCUGGGCUACACACGUGCUACAAUGGUUGGUACAACGAGUUGCGAGUCGGUGACGGCGAGCUAAUCUCUUAAAGCCAAUCUCAGUUCGGAUUGUAGGCUGCAACUCGCCUACAUGAAGUCGGAAUCGCUAGUAAUCGCGGAUCAGCACGCCGCGGUGAAUACGUUCCCGGGCCUU
rnacentral:rRNA from 1 species